rnacentral:rRNA from 1 species
ACGGAGGGUGCAAGCGUUAUUCGGAAUUACUGGGCGUAAAGCGCACGUAGGCGGCUUUGUAAGUCAGGGGUGAAAUCCCACGGCUCAACCGGGGAACUGCCUUUGAAACUGCAGAGCUUGAAUCCUGGAGAGGGUGGCGGAAUUCCUGGUGUAGGAGUGAAAUUCGUAGAUAUCAGGAGGAAUACCAGUGGCGAAGGCGGCCAUCUGGACAGGAAUUGACGCUGAGGUGCGAAAGUGUGGGGAGCAAACAG